AAGCUGAUUUAGAGACAGAGAUGAGAGAUACAGACGGAUCGAGAGAGAAUAUGUCGAUCGAGAUAGAGAAUGAGAGAAUAGUCGCAAUUUGAUUUUAGGAUUUUCCUCAGUCCGAUCUAAAUCAAUUAAGAGACAUUAUGUUCCAGAUUCAGUUAAACAAUCUUAACAAUUGAAUUACCAAAGUUGCUCCAGGUGAUUUUGAUUCGCCUUGUACUCGUGUUUAAGGUAGUAUUGGAAAGUUACAAUUACUUGAAGCUGGGAAGAAGAAGAUGAGACAAAAGCAUGAAAGAAAAGAGAAGAAAGUUGAGGCAAUAUGCAAACUGUUUAGCCAUUGAACACUAAUAUGUUAGCCCAAGAUACCAGCAAGGUACUGAUAAGCUCUAUAAAGGUUCAAUUUCUGAAAACUUAGCCAUGAUGGACAAAUGAAAUGACAGAGUAGUACUAACACGCAAGGUGAUGAUGAAACCGCUGUAACUUUCCUAGUUACGAGGGUACAUUGAUCUAUGUUUUUGAGAAGACUAUUAGAGAAAACAAGCUGGUAAUGGAUCCCAAAUGAUCAAGCUAGAAGAAAACCCCCACGCUGCUAUUGCCUUGAUUAAUUAUCGACGGGAAGACUUUUGGCUAUGGUUUGGAGGAUAUGAAGCAUCAAUUCUUGAGUUUAGCAGUUGAUUAUUCAUCUUUCAUAUAUUAUCGGGUCUCUGCAAAGCAAAAGGCAAUGGUAGCAAGGUUAGUGAAAGAAGGAACUGGGAAACUACUUUGGUGAUGAAGCAAAUGACGUUUGGAAAACUACUUCUCCAUUUCUUAGUUUCGGUUCUUGGAGAAACUUCUUGUUGUUCAUGGGCACUGGUGCUACAAGAGGAUUGCCCAGAUGGUAAGAAAUGAAUAUCUUUACAAAAAAAAAAAAAAAAAUCUUUAAUUUUCGUUCAUAUUUCUACAAGCAUCGUUAAAUGUUCAAUCUGUGUGGAAAAUCUUCACACACUCAAUCUGUGUGGAAAAUGAAUUUGGCGGGGAUAGUUUUUCUUUUAUGGUAGAAUCAGCAGAUUGUGAUGGUGUUAUAGAUGAUAAUUUGGCUGAAGAUAGCACAACUGCUUUUAUUGAAGAUAGAGCACAAGUUUCUCGCCCGAGGAGCACAAGUUAACCGAUACACUGUUAAGCUGAUAAAGCGGCUAAGUCAGAUGCAACUUUGAAGCUUUGGGUGAAGCAAUUGUGUGAAAUAAUUUAUGAAUCUUGGGGUGUCGUUGACGUAUGCUACCUCAAGAUUGUUAACCAUAAAAGGCUGUAAAAUGAAUUCAGAGCUCGUAUGCCCGAUUCGGAAGUGGAGUUUGAUUUUGAUAAAAAAAUUAGUAUUUCAUUCAAGAUAAUUGUGUUUCGAUUCAUUAAGUUAAGAUUCUAGAGUAUCAAUUUUCGAUUCAUUAAGUUUAGAUUCUAGAGUAUCAAUUUACGAUUCAUUAAGUUAUUGCCGAAGAUAUACACUCAUAGAUCAUUUUUAUCAAUUGUUUUUGUUUUUUUUUUUAAUUUAAACUUUUACCUGUGCAGAUACUAUACACUCAUUCUAAAAUUUGUUUUCUUAUUGUUUAUACUUUUACCUGUGCAGAAUGUGUGUAUUUAAGUGUAGCUAAUAUCCACAGAAGUUGGAAGAGCAACUGCAUUAUUGGCCUCUUUUUCAUGUGCGACAGUAUGGGUUGAGAAAGGGCAUGAGAUAAGCCUGGAGUACUGUGGGACUAAUGCACUGAAACGUGAUCUUGUCAGGUUAGGAAAAUUGACUCUAGUGAGACUGAUCAAGGAAAGAAUGAGUUCUCUUUCAAGUUAUUAUUUGAAUAAUUUUCACGACAGCAUUAGACAGGCAUGAUCCUAUUAUCUCUUCCAACCAAUUACGUAAAUAGAUAUACACAUUUAACUUCUUUCUAUACAACUAGGGAUGCAACAUGAAUCCUGAUGUACAAUUAGUAUGGAUAGGACUGCAAGUCUAUCUUUUUUUGGUGCUUGAACUUUUUAGGAAUUCUGUGUCUUGCAUGAUGCUAUGGAUUUAAUCAGUGGUUGCUAUACUGUCUUAAAGAAGAGUGAUGAAUUCCUGCACAUGAUGCUAAUAAAUUUGUCCAUAUGUUUAAGUUGUUAUGUGCAUGCAUACAUUUGACUUCCUUAUGUUGACAAUUGACUUUCAUAUGCUAAUAAUUUUUACAUGAUAUUGAGUGAUGAAUUCGUGCACAUGAUAUUGAGUGAUGCAUUCCUGCACAUGAUGCUAAUAAAUUUGUCCAUAUCUUUGUAAUUGGGAUAAAAUAUGUAUAUGUCAUGAGUUCCUUGAGUGAUAAAUUCCUGCAGAUGAUGCAAAUAAAUUUGUCCAUAUCUUUUGUGACUAGGAUAAAUAUGUGAUGAAUUCCUUAAGUGAUGAAUUCCUGCACAUGAUAUUGUGUGACGAAUUCCUGCACAUGGUAUUGUGUGACGAAUUCCUGCACAUGAUGCUAAUAAAUGAGAUUAACUCGUGAAGAUAGGAUGAAGAAACACGAUCCAUUGCUAAGAAACACGAUCCAAUGUUUAAGAUGUUAUGUGUAUGCAUACAUUUGACUUCCUUAUGUUGACAAUUGACUUUCAUAUGCUAAUAAUUUUUACAUGAUAUUAAGUGAUGAAUUCCCGCACAUGAUGAUAAUUUGUCCAUAUCUUUGUGACUGGGAUAAAUAUGUAUAUGUGAUGAGUUCCUUAAAUGAUGAAUUCCUGCACAUGAUGCUAAUAGUUUUGUCCAUAUCUUUGUGUGGGAUAAAUAUGUGAUGAAUUCCUUAAGUGAUGAAUUCCUGCACAUGAUAUUGUGUGACUAAUUCCUGCACAUGAUGCUAAUAAAUUUGUCCAUGUGUAUGCAUACAUUUGACUUCCUUAUGUUGACAAUUGGCUUUCAUAUUCUUUCCUAAAUAUAAGCAAGCAACACAAAAAAUAUAAUCAAAAAAUAAUACUGUGUAUAAUACCUGCACCCCAAAAAAAUAUGAAAAAUAAUAAGAUAAAUGAAGCACUGUGUAUAAUAAAUGGAUAAGCACUGUGUAUAAGAAUUUUGUGUCUUGCAUGAUGCUAUGGAUUUAAUCAGUGGUUGCUAUACUGUCCUAAAGAAGAGUCCUUCACCAUUCCAACUGAAUCGGUUUUGAAUCAUUUUUCGUUAGCGAUACAAGAUCCACUUUUGAUAUGCAUCCGUUUUCGGUAAAAAAAAGUUCAUAUUCUCCAAGCAUUAAAAAUAUGCGUCAGUUAUUCCAUAUCUGAUACCUGUUUCCAUACUCAAAGCUCUAUUGACAAUAUUUUUACUAGAUCUCCACUUUAGCCCACAAUGUUUCCAUUAUCAUUAAAUGAUAUUAUGUGCAGCCUUAUGCACCAAAUAAUUUGUGUGCAGGAUUUAUCCACGAUUGAAUUUGGGUGCAGGCUUCAUACACUGAAUAUUACGUGCAUGCUUUAUGUACCAAAGAAUUUGCAUGCAGGCUUUAUACACGGUCAAAUUAACUAGAGAUUAAAGGAGUGGGAGAAUGUUCUUGGUGAUGUUGGCCAACAGUUUCUAGGAAGAGUAAAUGUAGUUCGUGCAGCUGUAGAUAAGCACUGCAUCUACACCGGUUAUCCAUAUGCAAUCGUAAAGAGUGCUCCUUACCGUCACACUGUUAAGUUUUUUUCUUGUCGAGGUACAAUACACACUGUAUACGAUUACUUUGAUCCUGGUUUUACAACCGAGUGUUAUCGUGAUGUCUAUUCACAUUCAAUUUCUCUUAUUCCUGAUGUGAAGAAACUGAAUUAAGUUGAUGAAAGCACUAAGGUCUUUUGUUGUUAAAGGACUUGGGAGACAGAAAAAAUAGGUAUAUACCUCGUUAUGAGAAGCCCAAGGAAGAAACGGAUGUGUGAUAACUGCAGAAAGCUAACUUUUCACAACAAGAGAACCUGUCCAGAUCCUCUUGGUGAAGCCCAAGGAAGAAAUGGAUGUGUGAUAACUGCAGAAAGCUAACUUUUCACAACAAGAGAACCUGUCCAGAUCCUCCUGGUGAAGCUCCAAUCACAACUGGUCGAAAAAGAGGACAUGGACUACAUUUUUAUAUAGUUUUUUUUAUUUUUUCUGAGAUGUUAAAUUUAGCUUUUUGCACAUUUUUUUCAUGUUACUUUUCUGUUUACUUCGUAAGGAAUAAUCUUUCUUUUUUUUUUUAAAUUGCAUGGGUUUUUAUGUCAAGGUACUAUGUGAAGAAAUUAUUCAUAGAGCUUUUAUAUGGAGGGAUUAUGCACAA